UACGUAGGCGGAAUAUUAAGUCAGUGGUGAAAUCCUGCGGCUCAACCGUAGAACUGCCAUUGAUACUGAUAUUCUUGAAUGUAGUUGAGGUAGGCGGAAUGUGUAAUGUAGCGGUGAAAUGCUUAGAUAUUACACAGAACACCGAUUGCGAAGGCAGCUUACUAACUAUGAUUGACGCUGAUGUACGAAAGCGUGGGGAGCGAACAGGAUUAGAUACCCUGGUAGUCC
rnacentral:rRNA from 1 species